GGUGAGGGAGCUUAUUAUCACGGUUUCGAUUGCAGGACCCGGUAAAGCAUCUGGCGGGAUGGGAGGAGGUCCCGCGCCUACAGGUAGCAACUAUAAAACAAAGCUGUGUGAUAAUUUUGCAAAAGGUUCUUGUACUUUUGGUGAGAGAUGCCAUUUUGCUCACGGGGCUGCUGAGUUACGCAAGUCCGGGGUAUGAUCAAGUUCCCGAUUUUGUCUAGUUUUUAUUAAAAGGGAGUUUUGCUUUAAAACGUGCAAUUGACACGAGUGCG
rnacentral:misc_RNA from 1 species